rnacentral:rRNA from 1 species
UACGUAGGGUCCGAGCGUUGUCCGGAUUUAUUGGGCGUAAAGAGCUCGUAGGCGGCUCAGUAAGUCAGAUGAGAAAACUCAGGGCUCAACCCGGAGACGCCAUCUGAUACUGCUGUGGCUUGAGUCUGGUAGGGGAUCACGGAAUUCCUGGUGUAGCGGUGAAAUGCGCAGAUAUCAGGAGGAACACCGAUGGCGAAGGCAGUGAUCUGGGCCAGUACUGACGCUGAGGAGCGAAAGCGUGGGUAGCAAACAGG